CUCAAGCCUGCACCGUCUUGUCGGGACAGCUGUCGGCCCGUUGAGUCUGGAAAAUCCUGAGGCACGUCUGGGUCACACACCUCACGAGGCUGAGUGUUGGUCUUAUGAUGCCCCCCACUGGUGACAGGAGAAGCAACAUCUGGUUGGAGCAAUGACCACAUGCACUGUUGUUGGCAGGAAACGUUUGCAGACGCUCUUUAG